ACAGGGCAGACAAGGUCCCUGUCAUCCUGGGGCUUCCAUUCUGGCUGGGGAGACAGCAAGAGAUAAUCAACAAAUGAAUAAAUGAGAUACACUGAGAUGGUAAAAGAAAGGCACACACAGGAUGACAAGACAGAAGGUGACGACGGUGGAAGGCUGAUUUCUACAAGGCGGUCAAGGACUAAUUCUCGGACUUGCGUCACAGGAAUUUCACCAUGAGGAGGAUCUUAGGAGCAUCUGGUCUGACUGCUUCCUUCAACAGAUGAGCAAACUGAGGCCCGUGAAGGGUUAUCCGGAGAGUUAGUAGUCGACAGGAGACCGGAAUCUCCAUUCUCUGAUUUCCAAGACUUCACCGAGGUCUGUUCACCAGGUUGAAAACUUGUAUCACCAACGGCAAAGCCUCUUGUGCCGUCUGGGUGGCCCGCCCACAGCUGUCCUGGUCUGCGUCUGUAGCUUCAUUCCCUGGGAUUCUCCGUCCAAGUUCAGGCAUCGGACGACGAGUGUAUCCUCCAGUUGAGUCGUGCCAGAGUCUGUGUGUUGAAAAGUGUUUGAUUUUAUUAUAAAUUCCUUUCCUUUCCCUUUUAUCUUAUACGCGGGAUUAGGAUAUUGAUUAAAAAAUGGGUAUAUAGGUAGGUUAUGUUGAUGAGGAAUUUCAUUUCAGUUGAAUAGAAAUCAUUAAAUAUUUGUUUUA